GACGAACGCUGGCGGCGUGCUUAACACAUGCAAGUCGAACGAGUGGCGAACGGGUGAGUAACGCGUAUCAACCUGCCCUUCAGAGGGGGAUAACUACUGGAAACGGUAGCUAAUACCGCAUACCAUCAGAUGUGCCCAGAUGGGAUUAGCUAGUAGGUGGGGUAACGGCCUACCAAGCCGACGAUCCCUAGCUGGUCUGAGAGGAUGACCAGCCACACUGGAACUGAGACACGGUCCAGACUCCUACGGGAGGCAGCAGUGGGGAAUAUUGCACAAUGGGCGCAAGCCUGAUGCAGCCAUGCCGCGUGUAUGAAGAAGGCCUUCGGGUUGUAAAGUACUUUCAGCGGGGAGGCGUUACCCGCAGAAGAAGCACCGGCUAACUCCGUGCCAGCCGCCGCGGUAAUAC
rnacentral:rRNA from 1 species